AAAAUUGAACAACCAGUUACUAGUUUAUGAGUACAUGCCAAAUAAAAUCUUGGAUCCAUUCCUCUUCGGUUAAAGCUCCUCAUUCCUAUUAAUUGUAUUUCAAAUUAACUUCCAAAGAAACAAGACUUCUUUAUAAACCAAAUCAUUUUUCACUUACCCUUAAAUUCUGCUACUUGUUUUGGGCUGAAAUUUAUGUCAGAUAAGCGCAAAAAAGAACUUCUUGAUUGGAGAAAACGCUUCCACUCUGUAGAAGGAAUUUGUCAAGGUCUACUUUACCUUUGUAGGGAUUCCAGACUUAAGAAUUAUUCAUAGAGAUCUG
rnacentral:misc_RNA from 1 species